AGUGAACGCUGGCGGUAGGCCUAACACAUGCAAGUCGAACGGCAGCACAGUAAGAGCUUGCUCUUACGGGUGGCGAGUGGCGGACGGGUGAGGAAUACAUCGGAAUCUACUUUUUCGUGGGGGAUAACGUUGGGAAACUUACGCUAAUACCGCAUACGACCUACGGGUGAAAGCAGGGGAUCUUCGGACCUUGCGCGAUUGAAUGAGCCGAUGUCGGAUUAGCUAGUUGGCGGGGUAAAGGCCCACCAAGGCGACGAUCCGUAGCUGGUCUGAGAGGAUGGAAAGCCAAAAUGGAGAAGAGACACGGUCGAGACACCGACGGGGGGCAGCAGGGGGGAAUAGAGGACAAGGGGCGAAAGCAUGACCCACCCGUAGGGGGGGGGAGAGGAAGGGCUGCGGGGUGUAAAGCUUUAGUGUAGGGAAAGAAAGGAAGAAGACUCAUACCCAGCGGUUCUGAAGGUACAAAAAGAGUAAGCAACGGCUCACGGCGAG
rnacentral:rRNA from 1 species